CACAUGACUCUCGGCAACGGAUAUCUCGGCUCUCGCAUCGAUGAAGAACGUAGCAAAAUGCGAUACCUGGUGUGAAUUGCAGAAUCCCGUGAACCAUCGAGUUUUUGAACGCAAGUUGCGCCCGAGGCCUUCUGGCCGAGGGCACGUCUGCCUGGGCGUCACGC
rnacentral:rRNA from 10 species